rnacentral:rRNA from 1 species
AAGACUUGCGUCUUCAAGGCUUGGAUGUGAGGGCUUGCUGGCUUCCUUCAGUGGACGGUCUGCUCCCUUUAAAUACAUUAGUGGGAUCUCUUGUGGACCGUCACUUGGUGUGAUAAUUAUCUAUGCCACUUGACUUUGAAGCAAACUAAUGGGAACCUGCUUAUAACCGUCCCUUCGGGACAACUUAUUGACAAUUUGACCUCAAAUCAGGUAGGACUACCCGCUGAACUUAAGCAUAUCAAUAAGCGGAGGAAAAGAAACUAACAAGGAUUCCCCUAGUAACUGCGAGUGAAGCGGGAAAAGCUCAAAUUUAAAAUCUGGCGGUUCUUGUAGCCGUCCGAGUUGUAAUU